rnacentral:tRNA from 1 species
GCCAGUGUGGUGUAGUGCUUUGAGUGUUGGCCUAUGACUCUGGAGACCAGGGUUGGAAUCCCUGCUCAGCCA